UGGCGAACGGGUGAGUAACACGUGAGUAACCUGCCCACAACUUUGGGAUAACGCUGGGAAACUGGUGCUAAUACUGGAUAUGUGCUCCUGCUGCAUGGUGGGGGUUGGAAAGCUUCGGUGGUUGUGGAUGGGCUCGCGGCCUAUCAGUUUGUUGGUGGGGUAGUGGCCUACCAAGGCGGUGACGGGUAGCCGGCCUGAGAGGGUGACCGGCCACAUUGGGACUGAGAUACGGCCCAG
rnacentral:rRNA from 1 species